rnacentral:rRNA from 1 species
CCUACGGGGGGCAGCAGUGAGGAAUAUUGGUCAAUGGACGAGAGUCUGAACCAGCCAAGUAGCGUGAAGGAUGACUGCCCUAUGGGUUGUAAACUUCUUUUAUAUGGGAAUAAAACGUUCCACGUGUGGGAUUUUGUAUGUACCAUAUGAAUAAGGAUCGGCUAACUCCGUGCCAGCAGCCGCGGUAAUACGGAGGAUCCGAGCGUUAUCCGGAUUUAUUGGGUUUAAAGGGAGCGUAGGUGGUGUGUUAAGUCAGUUGUGAAAGUUUGCGGCGCAACCGUAAAAUUGCAGUUGAAACUGGCAGUCUUGAGUACAGUAGAGGUGGGCGGAAUUCGUGGUGUAGCGGUGAAAUGCUUAGAUAUCACGAAGAACUCCGAUUGCGAAGGCAGUUCACUGGACUGCAACUGACACUGAGGCUCGAAAGUGUGGGUAUCAAACAGGAUUAGAUACCCCAGUAGUC